AAGAGGCUAAAGGGUUUCUUCUGGUCUUCAAAACCAGCUUGUCUACGCAAGUGGAUAGGUGGGUUCGACUCCCCCCUCUCCUG
rnacentral:tRNA from 2 species